GCUCUACUCUCCCCAACUCCUGACUAUUGUCACUUGGCAGAGGGGAGAGGGUGGUAACGGGUCAUGGAAGAUGAACCAGAGAAGGCUGGAGACCGACCAGCUUUGAUCCCAGGACUAGAAACAAACAUUUCGGAAAUCGAGAUUACUGGCCAUGUUGAGUUGUCGGAAGUGUGUGGAUGAAUUUAUCACUUGGAGCCCCCCUCACUAUAAAGAGGAGGAGGUGGCAUGGCCCUGUUCUAGAGGAAAACUUGUAUAUCCCAGCUGUGUCUCAUGAGGCAGCAAGAAACCCCUCACUUCUCUCUCACCCCACUGCCUCCUCUUCAUUUCUACCCAUCCUGACAGCGAGCCUACCAGGCACGUCAGCCCGUGGGAGGCCCAAAGGGGAACACGACUAAGAUCCUGGAGACAAGACACAAGGACCUGGAUGUGGGUGGGCAAGCCAAAGGGCAUAGUGGGAAACCUCGUGCAGUAUACUCCAAAUGGGCACUGGAGCCGGCAGGCAGUGAUGGCACAAGCCUUUAAUCCCAGCAAUUGGGAGGCAGGGGCAAGCGGAUUUCUGAGUUCGAGGCCAGCCUGGUCUACAGAGUGAGUUCCAGGACAGCCAGGGCUGUCUCAAAACAAAACACAACAAAAAAACAAACAAACAAACCACCAACAACAACAACAACAAAAAACAGGCACUGCAGGCUGAAAGACUUUCCAGAGUUCUAGGGUGCCUAGAGCCACCCGCACUGGGCCAGUCACACUGAGGUUGUGGGAGGAUCUGGUGUACCGGGGCUUUCUUUCUGAAAACCAAAAUCCCCCCACUCCCAAGCACUGUUCAACUUCUCUCGCCAUCUGUAACUGUCCACAGCUGCAUAAAUUCCCGCUGGGAAUUUCCCUUUCCAGGUCAGCUUCUGUUACAGGGACCCAGGGGAUUUACAAGGGACAGUUGCUCCCUAAACCGUGUGUGCUACAGCGAAGGUGGCAAGGUGGCGGCAAGGGCUGGCUGGCCUCACUGAGAGGAGUCUCAGUGUGGCAGAGGGUUGCGUUAAAAUCUGAAUCCAUCACCAGAAUCCUCAACCCCAUGGGACGGCUUCGGGGGACAGAGCUGUUUCUCAGGAUGGGGGAGGAGCUGUCCUGAAGCCAGCUCUAGCUUAUCUUCACGGAUGGGAGGAGAAUGCUUAUUUAUCUACUUCCCUUUUUCUUUCUUUCUCAGAAGUUUAGGUCCAAAUAGCACCGAGAAUCAUUUGCCAUUUAAAGAUAAACACGAACGGAACCGGGUAUAACUCUGCAGCCUGCCUAGGGUAUAGGUUUAGUCCCCAGCACUGGAAGAGCAGCAGGUAUAAAUAAAUAGCUCCGAAGGAGUUCUAAGAGGGUUUGUUUGUUUGUCUGUCUGUUUGCCCUGUCCCCAGCCCUACCUCAUCGUUAAAAGCAUAUUUUUAUUCAGCCUGGCAGACACUGCGCCAGUAAUCCCAAGGCACCGAAGAGAAGACAUUUUAGUGUUCAGCUACUCAGCAAACGUGAAGCCAGCCUGGGCUACAGUAAGACUCAGUCUCAAAAACAAUUGCGUGUAUGUGUAUGAUAUUCGCACACUCCUUUCCCACAGCAGUAGUAGGUCUCUCACCUUUGAGAAGGGGAAGAAGAGAAACAAAAAUCAAAAUGAGGCAUAUGCAUGUCCAUAGAGGGAAAGAAAGAAAGAUUUAAUCUUUUGGUUUUUUAUUUUUUGGAAAUCUGAUACUAUUAUGUGAACAGAAUCUAUGUGACAAGGAGACAACAUCUUACCAAAGCAUCAGAUAGACAAAGGCUCAUUUUUAAAUCAAUAUCAUUGUGAGAAGUUGUGUCUAUUCAAUGAAUUAUCUAUAUGUUUUAAAGGUGAUAUGUCUAUAAUAUAUACGUGUCACUUUGUCCACAUGGUUUAAUAAUUUGUCUUUACAACAGUAAAGUAUUUUUAUUUUCAGCACU
rnacentral:lncRNA from 1 species